rnacentral:rRNA from 1 species
UAGGGAAUCUUCCACAAUGGGCGCAAGCCUGAUGGAGCAACACCGCGUGAGUGAAGAAGGGUUUCGGCUCGUAAAGCUCUGUUGUUAGAGAAGAACGUGCGUGAGAGCAACUGUUCACGCAGUGACGGUAUCUAACCAGAAAGUCACGGCUAACUACGUGGCAG